rnacentral:rRNA from 1 species
AUGAACGCUAGCGACAGGCUUAACACAUGCAAGUCGAGGGGCAGCACAGGUAGCAAUACCGGGUGGCGACCGGCGCACGGGUGAGUAACGCGUAUGCAACUUGCCUAUCAGAGGGGGAUAACCCGGCGAAAGUCGGACUAAUACCGCAUGAAGCAGGGGUCCCGCAUGGGGAUAUUUGCUAAAGAUUCAUCGCUGAUAGAUAGGCAUGCGUUCCAUUAGGCAGUUGGCGGGGUAACGGCCCACCAAACCGACGAUGGAUAGGGGUUCUGAGAGGAAGGUCCCCCACAUUGGUACUGAGACACGGACCAAACUCCUACGGGAGGCAGCAGUGAGGAAUAUUGGUCAAUGGGCGUAAGCCUGAACCAGCCAAGUCGCGUGAGGGAUGAAGGUUCUAUGGAUCGUAAACCUCUUUUAUAAGGGAAUAAAGUGCGGGACGUGUCCCGUUUUGUAUGUACCUUAUGAAUAAGGAUCGGCUAACUCCGUGCCAGCAGCCGCGGUAAUACGGAGGAUCCGAGCGUUAUCCGGAUUUAUUGGGUUUAAAGGGUGCGUAGGCGGCCUUUUAAGUCAGCGGUGAAAGUCUGUGGCUCAACCAUAGAAUUGCCGUUGAAACUGGGGGGCUUGAGUAUGUUUGAGGCAGGCGGAAUGCGUGGUGUAGCGGUGAAAUGCUUAGAUAUCACGCAGAACCCCGAUUGCGAAGGCAGCCUGCCAAGCCAUGACUGACGCUGAUGCACGAAAGCGUGGGGAUCAAACAGGAUUAGAUACCCUGGUAGUCCACGCAGUAAACGAUGAUCACUAGCUGUUUGCGAUACACUGUAAGCGGCACAGCGAAAGCGUUAAGUGAUCCACCUGGGGAGUACGCCGGCAACGGUGAAACUCAAAGGAAUUGACGGGGGCCCGCACAAGCGGAGGAACAUGUGGUUUAAUUCGAUGAUACGCGAGGAACCUUACCCGGGUUUGAACGCAUUCGGACCGAGGUGGAAACACCUUUUCUAGCAAUAGCCGUUUGCGAGGUGCUGCAUGGUUGUCGUCAGCUCGUGCCGUGAGGUGUCGGCUUAAGUGCCAUAACGAGCGCAACCCUUGCCACUAGUUACUAACAGGUAAAGCUGAGGACUCUGGUGGGACUGCCAGCGUAAGCUGCGAGGAAGGCGGGGAUGACGUCAAAUCAGCACGGCCCUUACAUCCGGGGCGACACACGUGUUACAAUGGCGUGGACAAAGGGAAGCCACCUGGCGACAGGGAGCGAAUCCCCAAACCACGUCUCAGUUCGGAUCGGAGUCUGCAACCCGACUCCGUGAAGCUGGAUUCGCUAGUAAUCGCGCGUCAGCCAUGGCGCGGUGAAUACGUUCCCGGGCCUUGUACACACCGCCCGUCAAGCCAUGGGAGCCGGGGGUACCUGAAGUCCGUAACCGCGAGGAUCGGCCUAGGGUAAAACUGGUGACUGGGGCU